UACAGAGACCUCAAGCGUUAUCCGGAAUCAUUGGGCGUAAAGCGUACCGAUCGGCGGUUUUGCAAGUCAGAAGUGAAAUCUCUCAGCUUAACUGGGAGAAUGUCUUUUGAAACUGCAAAGCUAGAGGGGCAAAGAGGAAGCUGGAACGAACGGUGUAGUAGUGAAAUGCGUUGAUAUCGUUCGGAACACCAAUAGCGAAGGCAAGCUUCUGGGUGCCACCUGACGCUGCUAGGACGAAAGCGUGG
rnacentral:rRNA from 1 species